UGUCGAUCUCCAUUCCUCACACCAGAGGGUCUCUGCCAUGUGGUCCUGGUGUGGCAGUUUGGACCACAAUGGGUGUCAUGAUGGUAGAUGUAAAGCUGGGG